rnacentral:lncRNA from 1 species
CAAAGCAAGAACAAAGGAAGAAAAGAGAGAACAAGAACCCUAGGGUGAAAAUUCAAGAGAAAAUUGGUGGAUUUCAAGUAAUCAAGCAAUCAAAAGUAAAAUUUCUUGAUUUUGACUUGUGAUCUACCUUCCCCAUACAUUCUUUUGCAUUUUCCAUGGUUGAAUCACAUGAUUUCAUGAUGGGUAUCUUGCUGGCUGAACACUUAGAGAGAGGUUUUGAUGUUUGAUUUGGUUAGAUUUCAAUGUAUUUUAGUGUUUUUAGUUGAUUGGUGAUGUGUAGCAUGAAAAUCAAGCAAGAAAAAUUCAUGUUCUUCCAUCACCCAUCAUUGGCUGAAUUCUCCAUGUGGAAUAUUAAGGAUGAUUUUGAUUUUAUUUCAAGUGAUUUGGUUAGGAAUUAGUGAUUUAUGGUGUGACAAUCAAGCUUGAAAAAUUAUAGUGUUGAUGCACCCACCAUGGCCGAAUUUUCCAAGAGAAAAUGUGAGGAUGAUUUUGCCAUAUUUCAAAUUAUUUAAUUUGUGUUUGAUGAUUUGGAGUAUUGGUAGAAAAAAGGAAUUAUUUGGAGUUGAAUUGGAUGUAUUGGCCAAUUAAUCGGGUGAUAGAUCAAAUUUGGCCAAUAUCAUUUUAUUUAGGUACAUAAUUGAAUUUAUAUUGAACACUGUAUUUAGAUAGUUACCUGAGUAUUUCACAUCCCAUUUCAUGCAUUAGUAUAGAGCUUGAAUUGGUUUUAUAACAAUUUAGCACAAAUGUUGUAAAUGGCUUAUUGUGCAUUAUGUCUAGGUGGUGAGCAUUCAGGCCAAAAUAAAGAGAUAGUACCCGAGGAUCAAGAAUCAGAGUACUCGAAAUUCGACUCCUGAAAUAGUGAGUAACCUUACUAUCGUCUUAAUUAUCUUAAGUGUUUUUAUCCGAUUUUGUGAUUUUACGGAAAAUGAGUUUAAAUGGUAAAUCUUUAUGUUUUAUAAACAAAAUGUGUUUAAAUGAAAUAAUUUUAUAAAAAUGUCUUGAAAUUGAAAGAUGGUUUUGAAAAUGGAGUAAUUGGAGACUAAUUACUGUGUUAUAAAUCAUGGUUUGAAUUGAUUGGCUUAUGGCAAUAUUGGCCUGAAUGGUUGAAUUGUUAUUUGUGUUGAAAAUCUAUAAACUGUUGUUUGCCUUAAUAGGCUGGAUAAUGAUAAAAUUGCCAUGUCAUGCUGUUAAAUGUUAUUGAAUUGGUGGGUUAUUGAUUAGUCGCUGUAGUGGACGGGUUCCGUGGACCAGCUAUUAGAGGGGGCACGGUAACCCUAUUAUAUUCAUACCUCAAUAUGAGAGGCGAGAAUGGAUAACUCCUGAGGUUUAGAAUUUAGAGUUCACUUCACGCCAAACCACCACGUGAGGGUGAACUCAGCCAACGCCAAGGAACGACUAUGUUUUCAAAAUAAAAAUAUGAUUAAUGCGUACAUAACUUAUUAACAACCUUGGCGGACUCAAUUAGGAUAGCCCUCAACCAAGGUAUCCUUGAUAAUUGAGUAUGAGAAUGAUUUUGGCACGAGCCAAAGUUUUGAAAAAUUCAUAAGCCAUGUUGAUUACUCGAUUUAUAUGAAUUGAUUUUAUUUAGUUAAAAUGAGUUGAAAUGUGAUAAAUUACAGUAUGAUGAUCUAUUUAAAUCUAUCUCUAUUUACUCAACUUUAGAUAUUUUAGAUGGUAUUUGUUUACUCACUGAGAUUAUAUAAUCUCACCAUCCUCAUUUCCACCCAUUUCAAGCUCAGGAUAGUCGGUAGAUAGCUCAUUUCAUUGAGGGCUACAGUUGGACUUGCAUCCACAAAACAAAAAAAUUGUAGGUUUAUCGCUUUUGAUACUUUUGGUCGUUCGUGGGCCCACGUGUCAUUGUAAAUUAAAUUUUAUACUUUGGUUAUUUGUAUUACAGUAUGUAUGAAUUUAUUUAGCUUUUACACUACAAAAAUUAUU